rnacentral:rRNA from 1 species
GGUUGUCGUAGACUACGACGUUGAUAGGCAGGGUGUGUAAGUGCUGCGAGGCAUUGAGCUAACCUGUACUAAUUGCCCGUGAGGCUUAACCAU